GAUUUCUCUUGUGACUUAGUGGCGGACGGGUGAGUAACGCGUGGGUAACCUGCCUCACACAGGGGGAUAACAGUUGGAAACGACCGCUAAUACCGCAUAACCCGCUAGGGCCGCAUGGCCCGGACGGAAAAGAUUUAUCGGUGUGAGAUGGACCCGCGUUGGAUUAGCUAGUUGGCAGGGUAACGGCCUACCAAGGCGACGAUCCAUAGCCGGCCUGAGAGGGUGAACGGCCACAUUGGGACUGAGACACGGCCCAAACUCCUACGGGAGGCAGCAGUGGGGAAUAUUGCACAAUGGGGGAAACCCUGAUGCAGCGACGCCGCGUGAGUGAAGAAGUAUUUCGGUAUGUAAAGCUCUAUCAGCAGGGAAGAAAAUGACGGUACCUGACUAAGAAGCCCCGGCUAACUACGUGCCAGCAGCCGCGGUAAUACGUAGGGGGCAAGCGUUAUCCGGAUUUACUGGGUGUAAAGGGAGCGUAGACGGUUAAGCAAGUCAGAAGUGAAAGGCUGGGGCUCAACCCCGGGACUGCUUUUGAAACUGUUUAACUAGAGUGCUGGAGAGGUAAGCGGAAUUCCUAGUGUAGCGGUGAAAUGCGUAGAUAUUAGGAGGAACACCAGUGGCGAAGGCGGCUUACUGGA
rnacentral:rRNA from 1 species